GGGCGGUACAAAGGGUAACGAAGUGCCGCGGAGGCGAAGGCCAAUCCCCAAAAAAGCCGUCCUCAGUUCGGAUUGGAGUCUGCAACUCGACUCCAUGAAGCCGGAAUCGCUAGUAAUCGCGGAUCAGCAUGCCGCGGUGAAUACGUUCCCGGGCCUU
rnacentral:rRNA from 1 species